CUUUUACGUUUUGACGGACACCUUCACAGGUGCUUCUUGGUUGGCUGUUUUUGGCCGUAAAUAAACAAAAAUUAUUGUGGCUACUGUUAGGGGAAGCUAACGCAUUAAUCCCAAUUUACUGGAAGCAAAUUGAUGUUCCUACAAUAGACACUAUAUAAAGGGUGUGGUAGAGGCAAAAAAAUGCCUACAAAAUUCAAAAUAUAAACAAAUAAAAAAUUAGACCUGUGCUGCAGAUACUCCACACUGAAGUCCCAACAGUGUAUAUACA